CACGGACCGCACGAACGUUAUUCGGUAUCACUGGGCUUAAAGGGUGCGUAGGCGGCUUUGCAAGUUGGGUGUGAAAGCCCUCGGCUCAACCGAGGAAUUGCGCUCAAUACUGCCGAGCUCGAGAGAGACAGAGGUAAGCGGAACUGAUGGUGGAGCGGUGAAAUGCGUUGAUAUCAAUCAGGAACACCGGUGGCGAAGGCGGCUUACUGGGUCUUU
rnacentral:rRNA from 1 species